rnacentral:rRNA from 1 species
UACGUAGGGUGCAAGCGUUGUCCGGAAUUAUUGGGCGUAAAGGGCUCGUAGGCGGUCUGUCACGUCGGGAGUGAAAACUCGGGGCUUAACCCCGAGCCUGCUUCCGAUACGGGCAGACUAGAGGUAUGCAGGGGAGAAUGGAAUUCCUGGUGUAGCGGUGGAAUGCGUAGAGAUCCGGAAGAACACCGGUGGCGAAGGCGGCCUGCUGGGCAGUUUAGCUGACACUGAGGCGCGACAGCGUGGGGAGCAAACAGG